rnacentral:rRNA from 1 species
AACGAACGCUGGCGGCAUGCCUAACACAUGCAAGUCGAACGAGACCUUAGGGUCUAGUGGCGCUCGGGUGCGUAACGCGUGGGAACCUGCCGUUAGGUUCGGAAUUACACUCCGAAAGGGGUGCUAAUACCGGAUAAUGUCUUCGGACCAAAGAUUCAUCGAAUUUGGAUGGGCCCGCGUUGGUUUAGCUAGGUGGUAGGGUAAAAGCCUACCAAGGCGACGAUCCAUAGCUGGUCUGAGAGGAUGAUCAGCCACACUGGGACUGAGACACGGCCCAGACUCCUACGGGAGGCAGCAGUGGGGAAUAUUGGACAAUGGGCGAAAUCCUGAUCCAGCAAUGCCGCGUGAGUGAUGAAGGCCUGAGAGUUGUAAAGCUCUUUUACCCGGGAUGAUAAUGACAGUACCGGGAGAAUAAGCUCCGGCUAACUCCGUG